GCCGUUGUGAUGGAAUUGGUAGACAUGACAGACUUAAAAUCUGUUGGGCUGAAAGCCCGUGGCGGUUCGAGUCCGCCCAGCGGUA
rnacentral:tRNA from 1 species